UACGGAGGGGGCUAGCGUUGUCCGGAAUCAUUGGGCGUAAAGCGCGUGUAGGCGGUCCGGUAAGUCCGCUGUGAAAGUCGGGGCUCAACCCUCGAAAGCCGGUGGAAACUGUCGGGCUAGAGUGCGGAAGAGGCGAGUGGAAUCCUGGUGUAGCGGUGAAAUGCGCAGAUAUCAGGAGGAACACCAAUUGCGGAAGGCAGCUCGCUGGGACGUUACUGACGCUGAGACGCGAAAGCGUGGGGAGCAAACAGG
rnacentral:rRNA from 1 species